GACCCAGUGGCGAAAUGGUUUCGCGUCCGCCCACUUUGCAAAACCGGAAACGCAUUUCCGCGGAAGACACCCGUUCGAUUCGGGUCUGGGUCA